rnacentral:rRNA from 1 species
GACGUAGGGCGCGAGCGUUGUCCGGAUUUAUUGGGCGUAAAGAGCUCGUAGGCGGCUUGUCGCGUCGUCUGUGAAAACCCGCGGCUCAACGGCGGGCUUGCAGUCGAUACGGGCAGGCUGGAGUUCGGUAGGGGAGACUGGAAUUCCUGGUGUAGCGGUGAAAUGCGCAGAUAUCGGGAGGAACACCUGUGGCGAAGGCGGCCCCCUGGUUGGAUACUGACGCUGAGACGCGAAAGCGUGGGGAGCAAACAGG